rfam:Stappia sp. 22II-S9-Z10 contig26, whole genome shotgun sequence.
ACCUGCUUGCAGGAGCGAACCGGGGGAAGUGAAACAUCUCAGUACCCCGAGGAAAAGAAAUCAACCGAGAUUCCGCUAGUAGUGGCGAGCGAACGCGGACCAGGCCGUGCAGUGAGAUAAGUAGAACCGACUGGAACGUCGGGCCAUAGAGGGUGACAGCCCCGUAUAUGUAGAAUGAUCUGCCGUUCGAGUAGGGCGGGACACGUGAAAUCCUGUCUGAACAUGGGGGGACCACACUCCAAGCCUAAAUACUCCUCGAUGACCGAUAGUGAACCAGUACCGUGAGGAAAAGGUGAAAAGAACCCCGACAAGGGGAGUGAAAGAGUCCCUGAAACCGGAUGCUUACAAACAGUGGGAGGGCGCAAGCCUGACCGCGUACCUUUUGUAUAAUGGGUCAGCGACUUCGUCUGACGAGCAAGCUUAAGCCGAUAGGUGUAGGCGCAGCGAAAGCGAGUCUGAACAGGGCGUUCAGUUCGUCGGAUGAGACCCGAAACCGGGUGAUCUAGGCAUGAGCAGGUUGAAGGUUGGGUAACACCAACUGGAGGACCGAACCGUUGAAUGUUGCAAAAUUCUCGGAUGACUUGUGCUUAGGGGUGAAAGGCCAAUCAAACUCGGUGAUAGCUGGUUCUCCGCGAAAACUAUUUAGGUAGUGCGUCGGAUGUAUCUCUCAGGGGGUAGAGCACUGGAUGAGGAAUGGGGACUCACCGUCUUACUGACUUCAACCAAACUCCGAAUACCUGAGAAGACUAUCCGGCAGACACACGGCAGGUGCUAACGUCUGUCGUGGAGAGGGAAACAACCCUGAUCGCCAUCUAAGGCCCCCAAAUCAUGGCUAAGUGUGAAAGGAUGUAGAGACCCCAAAACAACCAGGAUGUUGGCUUAGAAGCAGCCAUCAUUUAAAGAAAGCGUAACAGCUCACUGGUCUAAACAAGGGUCUCCGCGCCGAAAAUGUAACGGGGCUCAAGCCAUGUGCCGAAGAUGCGGGCUUGUCUUUGACAAGCGGUAGCGGAGCGUUCCGUAGGCCUGUGAAGGGAGACCCGUGAGGGCUCCUGGAGGUAUCGGAAGUGCGAAUGCUGACAUGAGUAACGUAAGGGGUGUGAGAGACACCCCCGCCGAAAGUCCAAGGGUUCCUGCGUAAAGCUAAUCUGCGCAGGGUUAGUCGGCCCCUAAGGCGAACCCGAAAGGGGUAGUCGAUGGGAACACGGUUAAUAUUCCGUGACCAGGGAUGAGUGACGAAUGCCGGAAGUUGUCUGACCUUAUUGGAUUGGUCGGGCAGCCUGGGUGUUCCAGGAAAUAGCUCCCCAAAGGACCGUACCCGAAACCGACUCUGGUGGACUGGUAGAGUAUACCGAGGCGCUUGAGAGAACGAUGCUGAAGGAACUCGGCAAAUUGCCUCCGUAACUUCGGGAGAAGGAGGCCUCUGGCUCGGGCAACCGGGUUGGAGGGGCACAGACCAGGGGGUAGCGACUGUUUAUCAAAAACACAGGGCUCUGCGAAGUCGCAAGACGACGUAUAGGGUCUGACGCCUGCCCGGUGCCGGAAGGUUAAAAGGAGGUGUGCAAGCACCGAAUUGAAGCCCCGGUAAACGGCGGCCGUAACUAUAACGGUCCUAAGGUAGCGAAAUUCCUUGUCGGGUAAGUUCCGACCUGCACGAAUGGCGUAACGACUUCCCCGCUGUCUCCAGCAUCGACUCAGUGAAAUUGAAUUCCUCGUGAAGAUGCGAGGUUCCUGCGGUCAGACGGAAAGACCCCGUGCACCUUUACUAUAGCUUUACACUGGCAUUCGUGACGGCAUGUGUAGGAUAGGUGGUAGGCUUUGAAGCGUGAGCGCCAGCUUGCGUGGAGCCUCCCUUGAAAUACCACCCUUGCUUUCAUGGAUGUCUAACCGCGGCUUCGCCCGGGACAGUGUAUGGUGGGUAGUUUGACUGGGGCGGUCGCCUCCCAAAGAGUAACGGAGGCGUGCGAAGGUGGGCUCAGAGCGGUCGGAAAUCGCUCGUUGAGUGCAAUGGCAUAAGCCUGCCUGACUGCGAGACUGACAAGUCGAGCAGAGACGAAAGUCGGCCAUAGUGAUCCGGUGGUCCCGCGUGGAAGGGCCAUCGCUCA